AUGCUUACGGGUCCCAUUUGUGAUUUACAUUGUUUAAAUCAGAAUGUUACUGAAAUAUGAGCAGCAUAAACUUACUAUUCCUGUGGUACAUCAACAAGGAUAAAGACAAAGUACAUUUAUGAAUUAACUACAAGGAAAAUGAAAAGGCCCCUGAGCUCAGGCAAGCAGCCAGUCUUUACCCUCACGCCCCAGGCUCAGUGCUCCAGCCGAGAUCUCAGGGUCCUGCUCAGUGCCACCAAAUCUAUCAAGAGUAAGUUUUGUGCAAUCUUUUGCUCCGUUUUAUGGAAGACACAACAAAAAGGAACUCAUGGGUCAGAAGGGAUUUCCAGCAUUUUUUAAAAAGUGUACAAAUCCAUGCAAAUAUAACAAAGAAAGAUAAGAAGAACAUUGGGGAACUGCCUUUUGGACUUUGGGGGCUUAAAAGUGUGUUUCAGACCAGUUCCUUGGUUUGAUGUUGACACAAACUUGUGAAUUUAGUCCAGCAGAAAUUAUCUUCAUGAUCUCCAUCUCUGUGAUGUAGGGAGAUUAAGUCAUUUGGCCAAAGUCAACCCACACACUCACUCACAUGCACACAAAGUGCCGGCAGGAGUGAGACCUGAAGCUGGGCGUCUCAACUGCCAAUCCGCUUUACUACGACAAGGAGCUGGCUUGCAAGGAAAGAGAGAAAAGAGUUUCUGAAAGUCCCUGGGGGCUGUGCCUGAGCCUGUACAAGUUUAUAAUCUCUGGCUGGCAGGGACGUACAGGUUAAUGCUGUAUUACAGAUUUCUUCCUCAGCUUAUCAAAAUCCUUGGGUCCUUCUAAAUAAGCACGUGCUAAUUUAUACACCAAAGCUUCCUCUGCUGCGUCUGCUCUGCAUCAACUCUUUGCAAUGUGCCCUGAGAUUUGCUUUAAAGCCACA
rnacentral:lncRNA from 1 species